rnacentral:rRNA from 1 species
AUACGGAGGAUCCGAGCGUUAUCCGGAUUUAUUGGGUUUAAAGGGUGCGCAGGCGGCCAUUUAAGUCAGCGGUUAAAUCGUGGGGCUCAACCCCAUUCUGCCGUUGAUACUGGGUGGCUUGAUUGCGGUCGAGGUUGGCGGAAUUCGUUGUGUAGCGGUGAAAUGCAUAGAUAUGACGAAGAACACCGAUUGCGUAGGCAGCUGACCAGACCGCAAAUGACGCUCAUGCACGAAAGUGCGGGGAUCGAACAGGAUUAGAUACCCUGGUAGUCCGCACAGUAAACGAUGAAUACUUGUUCUCGGCGAUAUAAUGUCGGAGGCAAAGCGAAAGCGAUAAGUAUUCCACCUGGGGAGUACGCCGGCAACGGUGAAACUCAAAGGAAUUGGCGGGG